rnacentral:rRNA from 1 species
UACGUAGGUGGCAAGCGUUGUCCGGAAUUAUUGGGCGUAAAGCGCGCGCAGGCGGUCCUUUAAGUCUGAUGUGAAAGCCCACGGCUCAACCGUGGAGGGUCAUUGGAAACUGGGGGACUUGAGUACAGAAGAGAAGAGUGGAAUUUCGUGUGUAGGGGUGAAAUCCGUAGAUCUACGAAGGAACGCCAAAAGCGAAGGCAGCUCUCUGGGUCCCUACCGACGCUGGGGUGCGAAAGCAUGGGGAGCGAACAGG